GGAAGCUCCCGCUAAUUACACUUUUCCAGGUUACUUGUAUGUUAGGGGGAAAAAGCUUGAAACUUAAAAAAAAAAAAAAAAAAGAAAAAAACCCACUUGUAUUAUUCCGUUUUCCAUUGCUUCAUCAAAUACUUAGGACUGGUUCAUAUAGAAAGAAGUUUAUUUAUUUAGCUCUUGUGGAAGUUCAAGCACACAGCCCCAGCUGCUGUGAGGAUCCUACUGAUUGGUGGCUUUAGGGCGGGAGAGGGAGAGAUCACAGGACAAGACAGGAACACUGAGGGGUAUUGGGGUCAGGAUCCUGUGUUUAUAUCAACCACCUCCUGGGCACUAAGAACUACCUUGUUUCUUUCCUGGACAAGGCCAGUAAUGACCUAAUAUCAUCCCAUUAGGCCCCGCCUCUCAAAGGCCCCACCCACUCUGACCACCACCAUCCCGGGGACAUCCCCAACCAAGUCUGAAUCAUAGCAAUAACCUUGCAAGUAUCAUGUCGUUUUUAAUGUUUUCAUGUAACCAAUUCACUCCUAAUCCAGGAAAUAGCAUUUUGUCACCAUCUCAGAAUAAUUAGGAGAUUUAUUUUUUGAAUAUCAGUUUUAUAUUAGGUGGGAUCCACAUUUUUUGUUUUCGUUUUUUAAGCAACAGACACUUAUUGUGGGAUCCACAUUUAGUGCUUCUCCAAGACUGGCUUAUUUUUGUCAGGUCAGUGUGUAUCCAGCUGAAUGUAGACAUCAGGGCCAAAAGUCUGAAUUCGAUGGUUUUGAAAAUGUGAGACAGGCCUUCUGGCAUCCCAAAGGGCCCUCUCAUCCUUCCAUAAGUCAGUCAGUCUUCCAUCAGGUAGAGCUUUUUACAAUUAUGAAGCUAAUACCAAAUUACAAGAGAUGUUUUAUAUUCGUACCUGCACCUUUUUUUCUUUUUAACAACAGGUUAGUAUUUUACACGUGAACCAUGGAUUAUCUUAAUCUUCUAUCCUAUAGGUAGCUGUUCAGAUUACAUCUUGGUUUUGUUUUUGCUAAUUCGAGCAGUAUUGUAGUAAACGCCCUGGUAUGUACCACAGGUACAUAUAUCCAUGUGCGCCAUCUACUUGGGUAACUCCUUAGGAAUGGAAUUCUUGGGCCAACUGGUUAAUAACUUUAGAAUUUGUUCAGAUAUUGCUAUAUUCCCCUUCAAAAGAAGGUUCUACCAAUUUGUUACUCACACCUAGAAUAUACAAACUUUCCUCUGUCCCUACACCCUUACCACACUGGAUAUAGAAACAUUAACUCUUUGCUAAUCUAAAAGGUAAAAAGUGAUACGCCACAGCAUUGUGUUUUUGAUGCUGCAGCGCUAUUAGAGAUUUUCAAAGCUCGAGGGGAUUUUCCAGGGUAGUAGAUGAGCAGGAGACCCCAGAUGAGGCAGCAAGAGAGCCCGGAAUUCCAGCCCUGUCCUUGAAACCUUGGUGCCCGAGGCUAGUUUCUGCCUAUAAAUGGACACAGACCUUGCCCUGAACUGCCAGAGGGAUUUCAUCAGAGGAGGUCCGGCACAGAGCUUGGUUCUGAGGUCAGGUCCUCACCCUGUAAAUGCUGGGAUUGUCCAUUGCCUGUGCCUGGACCUUCCACAUAGGUCCCUCUUGAUCAAAGUAGGAAUUGGGAAGUUUUGGCAUCUCACAGGCCCACACACUGGGUAGGGUUAGAGUACUGCAGUCAAAGGCCUGUGACCUGAGUGUGGUCCCAACUUUCUCUUGUGUCAGAUGGUAAGAACACAAGUUCACUACAGCCAUCUGUGAGCUGCAGUGACCUGGGUCACUGCAUGAAAUUGUGUGGGAGGACAGGUCACUUCCUCAGGGAUAGUGUCGGCACUUUGGAGCUGAAUCGCCACAGGGCACAUAUUGUCCACCUGUCAGUGGCUGUACCUGCUCGCACUGAUACAUUGAUGUUGGCUCUCUGAGCCAAGGCAGGAAUUUCUGAACAACAGUGUGGACAAUUUAUGGGGACCUCCUAUUUGUGGUUCCUCAGCAGAGGCUGCAGGGCUGGCAAGAUCC
rnacentral:lncRNA from 1 species